CGACGACGACGACGACAUCGUCCUGUCCUGGGUGCUUGCCUGUGAGGGACUGCCUGCGCUUCACGAGUAGCAGAGAGUACAACGCGGCCCCGGAGCGCGCGCUGUGCACCACGCACCUCUACGUCAGACGCCUGGAGAAGCUCUACUGGCAUGCCAUGCAGACGGCCAAUGGUGAUGGCACAGGAACCUAAUGACACCAUCUGCAUCCAGUAUGGGUAUACCAGUCAGUGGAAAUAUGAGGACCAUAUCUGCAGGUGAUGAUGGGGCAGUGACGUGGUUCUCCUAUACACUAAGAUUCGCAAAGAUUGAGAAAAACUGGAGAACGUUCUCGUACUUGAAAAAAACUAAACUUUAUUUUCUUUCCUUUCCGAUUCGUACAAUCUUUGAUGACGAUGAAUGCUGUAGAGUACAGGACAAACUCAUGGACCACCUGCUACACACACGCACGCACACGCACAGACGCGCACACGCACACACGCACACUCACACUCACACACGCACUCACACCACACCCGCACGCACACGCACACACUCACGCACCCGCACACACGCACACGCACACGCACACACACACACACACACCGCACUGUUUACGACAAUGUCGACACUCACACAUACAGAGCGAAAAUAUACAAGAACUAAGAAGAAAUAAAACGAUUUAUCUAAACAUAAAACGAAUUAGUAGGAAAAUAAAAAUCCAGUACAAACAUAAAAGUACAACUAAAGACAUUUUUAGGAAAAAUGGUUCAUAAUGUGCCAAUGAUACAUUACACAAAGAGCACAUAAACGAAAAAUAAUACCCUUGCUCCUUGCUGGUCCAUCCUCCAGCAUGCCUAAACUGUUUAUAUAUUCCGAUUUACAAAAGAUUUAGACUUGACUAUCUAUAUUUAACUAGCGUAGGAUACAUAUGGCUCGACUAAAAUGCUACCUCGAUAAAAA